rnacentral:rRNA from 1 species
AUGAACGCUGGCGGCGUGCCUAAUACAUGCAAGUCGAGCGAACGGACGAGAAGCUUGCUUCUCUGAUGUUAGCGGCGGACGGGUGAGUAACACGUGGAUAACCUACCUAUAAGACUGGGAUAACUUCGGGAAACCGGAGCUAAUACCGGAUAAUAUUUUGAACCGCAUGGUUCAAAAGUGAAAGACGGUCUUGCUGUCACUUAUAGAUGGAUCCGCGCUGCAUUAGCUAGUUGGUAAGGUAACGGCUUACCAAGGCAACAAUGCAUAGCCGACCUGAGAGGGUGAUCGGCCACACUGGAACUGAGACACGGUCCAGACUCCUACGGGAGGCAGCAGUAGGGAAUCUUCCGCAAUGGGCGAAAGCCUGACGGAGCAACGCCGCGUGAGUGAUGAAGGUCUUCGGAUCGUAAAACUCUGUUAUUAGGGAAGAACAUAUGUGUAAGUAACUGUGCACAUCUUGACGGUACCUAAUCAGAAAGCCACGGCUAACUACGUG